rnacentral:lncRNA from 1 species
GGAAAGCAGUCCCUUCAGCAGACCCUGCUUCAAUACAAGAAAAGGAAGACAGCUGGCUGACUAAGUAUGCUUCUUCUCCAUGAACGGUAACAAGCUUUCCAUUCCUUAUGAACUUCAACUUCUGAUGUAAGGUGGAAGUAACCGCACCCGCAUCGUGUAUCCACGGUCUUCCCAGCAGACAACUGUAGGAUGCAUUAAUG